GCUCUUAAAUGUUGAGGCAUCUCUCUAGCUCCAGAGAGCACAGUUUUAUAACCAAUUGUUCUGUGCUAGUGAGGUGGCUCAGCAAGGAAGGGCA
ensembl:miRNA Mir5104 microRNA 5104